rnacentral:rRNA from 1 species
GAUGAACGCUGGCGGCGUGCCUAAUACAUGCAAGUCGAGCGAACAGACGAGGAGCUUGCUCCUCUUACGUUAGCGGCGGACGGGUGAGUAACACGUGGAUAACCUACCUAUAAGACUGGGAUAACUUCGGGAAACCGGAGCUAAUACCGGAUAAUAUAUUGAACCGCAUGGUUCAAUAGUGCAAGCCGGUUUUGCUGUCACUUAUAGAUGGAUCCGCGCCGCAUUAGCUAGUUGGUAAGGUAACGGCUUACCAAGGCAACGAUGCGUAGCCGACCUGAGAGGGUGAUCGGCCACACUGGAACUGAGACACGGUCCAGACUCCUACGGGAGGCAGCAGUAGGGAAUCUUCCGCAAUGGGCGAAAGCUUGACGGAGCAACGCCGCGUGAGUGAUGAAGGUCUUCGGAUCGUAAAACUCUGUUAUUAGGGAAGAACAAAUGUGUAAGUAACUAUGCACGUCUUGACGGUACCUAAUCAGAAAGCCACGGCUAACUACGUG